GCGCCCGUAGCUCAGGGGAUAGAGCAGCGGAUUUCUAAUCCGUUGGUCGGGAGUUCAAAUCUCCCCGGGCGUG
rnacentral:tRNA from 1 species